AUUGAACGCUGGCGGCAUGCCUUACACAUGCAAGUCGAACGGCAGCAUGAUCUAGCUUGCUAGAUUGAUGGCGAGUGGCGAACGGGUGAGUAAUACAUCGGAACGUGCCCUGUAGUGGGGGAUAACUAGUCGAAAGAUUAGCUAAUACCGCAUACGACCUGAGGGUGAAAGUGGGGGACCGCAAGGCCUCAUGCUAUAGGAGCGGCCGAUGUCUGAUUAGCUAGUUGGUGAGGUAAAGGCUCACCAAGGCGACGAUCAGUAGCUGGUCUGAGAGGACGAUCAGCCACACUGGGACUGAGAAACGGCCCAGACUCCUACGGGAGGCAGCAGUGGGGAAUUUUGGACAAUGGGCGAAAGCCUGAUCCAGCAAUGCCGCGUGUGUGAAGAAGGCCUUCGGGUUGUAAAGCACUUUUGUCCGGAAAGAAAUGGCUCUGGUUAAUACCUGGGGUCGAUGACGGUACCGGAAGAAUAAGGACCGGCUAACUACGUG
rnacentral:rRNA from 1 species